rnacentral:lncRNA from 1 species
AUGCACCACAAAAUUAUUGUAGCCGUCUAAUACAACUUGUAUUACAGUUUUUAAUUUAAAAACCGUGUAAAUGAUAUCCAUAUAUGUACUGGUUCUAUCAACUGGCAUAAUUGGCAUAUAAAUAAAAUAAUAACUGGUUAAAAUUUGUAUUAUCUCGAAAAUAUAUGUAAAUGGCUAUCCAACAAGAACAAUAUAUAUCAGCACGGUCAUUUUCAUUAUGUCCCUUUUGACCACUUUCUUCUUCUUCAAUCUCUUCACAAUUCUCCAGCAAUGGAUGCUUCAAAGCAGUCUCAUCUCUCUCCAAUACUUCGCUCUUGACUUUAUCUUCGGAGAACAAACCGGAAACUUUUGUCACAAACGCUUCUUCUUUCUAGCUACAACUACCUCUACUCCUUUUGCUACUUCUUUUUCUUUGAGCUUCAAUUUCUUCUUCUUACAAAUCCUUAACUUCUUUGAGCUUCCCCCUUUUACUUCUCCUUUGUCAACACAACAUCCCUAAUCGUCUCAACUUCUCUCUCAUUUGGAAGAGCUCGAACACUUUAAUCACAAUCACCAU